rnacentral:rRNA from 1 species
UACGUAGGGGGCAAGCGUUGUCCGGAAUUAUUGGGCGUAAAGAGCUCGUAGGCGGUCUGCUGCGUCGGCUGUGAAAACCCGGGGCUCAACCUCGGGCCUGCAGCCGAUACGGGCAGACUAGAGUUCGGCAGGGGAGACUGGAAUUCCUGGUGUAGCGGUGAAAUGCGCAGAUAUCAGGAGGAACACCGGUGGCGAAGGCGGGUCUCUGGGCCGAUACUGACGCUGAGGAGCGAAAGCGUGGGGAGCGAACAGG